rnacentral:rRNA from 1 species
AUUGAACGCUGGCGGAAUGCUUUACACAUGCAGGUCGAACGGCAGCACGGACUUCGGUCUGGUGGCGAGUGGCGAACGGGUGAGUAACAUAUCGGAACGUAUCCAAUAAUGGGGGAUAACGAGUCGAAAGAUUCGCUAAUACCGCAUACGCCCUACGGGGGAAAGCUGGGGACCUUCGGGCCUGGCGUUAAUGGAGCGGCCGAUAUCUGAUUAGCUAGUUGGUGAGGUAAAGGCUCACCAAGGCGACGAUCAGUAGCUGGUCUGAGAGGACGACCGGCCAGACUGGGACUGAGACACGGUCCAGACUCCUACGGGAGGCAGCAGUGGGGAAUUUUGGACAAUGGGCGCAAGCCUGAUUCAGCCAUUCCGCGUGAGUGAAGAAGGCCUUCGGGUUGUAAAGCUCUUUCGCAAGGGAAGAAAACUUAGCCACUAACAUUGGUUGAGGUUGACGGUACCUUGAUAAGAAGCACCGGCUAACUACGUGCCAGCCGCCGCCGUAA